UACGUAGGGUGCGAGCGUUGUCCGGAUUUAUUGGGCGUAAAGGGCUCGUAGGCGGCGUGUCGCGUCGGGAGUGAAAGCCCGAUGCUUAACAUCGGAAUUGCACUCAAACUACACGGCUAGAGCAUUGGAGAGGGUAGCAGAAUUCAUGGUGUAGCAGUGAAAUGCGUAGAUAUCAUGAGGAAUACCAGAGGCGAAGGCGGCUACCUGGACAAUUGCUGACGCUCAGGCACGAAAAGCGUGGGGGAGCAAAAAGGG
rnacentral:rRNA from 1 species